rnacentral:rRNA from 1 species
GAUGAACGCUGGCGGCGUGCCUAAUACAUGCAAGUCGAGCGAACAGACGAGGAUCUUGCUUCUCUUACGUUAGCGGCGGACGGGUAAGUAACACGUGGAUAACCUACCUAUAAGACUGGGAUAACUUCGGGAAACCUGAUCUAAUACCGGAUAAUAUAUUGAACCGCAUGGUUCAUUAGUGAAAAACGUUUUUGCUGUCACUUAUAGAUGUAUCCUCGCCGCAUUAGCUAGUUGGUAAGGUAACGGCUUACCAAGGCAACGAUGCGUAGCCGAGCUGAGAGGGUGAUCGGCCACACUGGAACUGAGACACGGUCCAGACUCCUACGGGAGGCAGCAGUAGGGAAUCUUGCGCAAUGGGCGAAAGCCUGACGGAGCAACGCCGCGUGAGUGAAGAAGGUCUUCGGAUCGUAAAACUCUGUUAGUAGGGAAGAACAAAUGUGUGAGUAACUAUGCACGUCUUGACGGUACCUAAACAGAAAGCAACGGCUAACUACGUG